AUUAUUUGUCAAAAACUUUGAUGUCAAUCAAAACCUACAAAAUACUAAUUCAUUUUUUAUUUUGAACUUUGCAGCCUAAUCUGACAUGGAUUUGAAACGAACCCAUUUCUGGAAAUAACGUGAUGCCAAUCCUUACAAGUCCAAAAUGGUGUAUCAUUCCAUAUUUGGAGAUUAUUUUGGCCGAGAUAUUCGAAGAAAUCAUGAAAAUAGUUUGACUUUACAUCCGGAUCGUGUCUGGUCGUAAAAUUUAAUCGAACGCCUCUAUUUUUCAUUUAAUUGAAAGCCAAUUUAUAAAAGGGAACCGUACAAAUUUAAAAAAGGUUAUAACA